CUGUAUGACAACAUCUUUCAAGAAAUUAACAUUCACUCCAUUAGCUUUCUCUGUAUCUGUUCAGGGCCAUCUCUCUGCGAAUUACGCUAUGCUGUUUGCACUGCUACACUGAACUAAAACAGCCAGCAAGGAGAAGGGCAUUAUUGAUUUCUGUUCUUUGUAAGACAUUGAGGUGAGGAGCUUCUUGCCAUCUGGUUGCUCACUAGAACACCUCAGGUUGACCUAGCAGCCUCAAGCUCCUUGGAAGUGAGUUUCUCAAAGAUCAUUAAUGUAGUCAUAAAACUUGCUCAUAUUUUUAAAAGCAGCAAAGGAGGUAAGAAGAGCAAGUACCAUGUUGAAUGGUACUGCAUAUUCAUAUCCAUAUAUGUGUACUGUACAAAUGCUCAGAGUAUGAAGGCCGUAAGUGAAGGCAUCUGUAAUUUCUUAUGCCAAACUCCAUCUGUUUUCAGUAGUUUGUAACUCCACCAUUCUCUAAUAAUUUGCACAGAAAUUUCUCAUGCUGAAUUUGUGCCUCAGGCUGAAGACUUCUUUUGAAAAUUUGAACAAAAAUAGCUUAGCCACUUUUCAGGAAAGAAAAAAAAACAAAAACAUUUUUCUCAAUAGCAGCUGUAACCCCUAUAUUACUGCGAAGGCUACACAACUCAGCAGUCCCAUCACUUGAGAGAAAUGCAUACAACCUUUCCUGAUCCUAUUAGGGGGCAAGGAAGAGACUAGGAAAGUAUAAAAUCUCCACCCUAGCUGAUAAAUCUGCAUCUGGUUUUACCUAUGUGAAAAUAGCUCUUGUACUAAAAGCUUCACUAUUUCUGUGCUUUAGAACAGAGAUUAGAGCUUUGCUAAGAGAGCCAUUCUGAUUUCAGAAACCUGCUUUAGAUGACCCCACUUUUUUGCUGAAUCAUGAGCAUCUGAAAAUCAGAGAAACACACUUGUCUUAUUCUGUUUGUAGGAAUUAAUACAUAGGGUAUGACUGCGUGGGUUGAGCCAGACUUACCCCUUACUUCUCCUUCAAAGCCAGAGAGCACUACAGACAGAGAGAUUCAUAUGCUUUCGGUGGUCUUCCUCCUUCUCUCCCUAGGUUGGGGAAGCAGAGGGAUAAGGAGCCAGGCCUGAAGGGACUGUUAAAGAGUGGUGAGUUGAGCACAGGGAACUCUAAAGGGGAAGAGAGCAUGUGAAAGCACUAGAAAAUGUUAUGUACAGGUAGGCUGAGAGCAAAAAGGGAUAUGAAUUAAAGUCAUGAAGAAUGAGGUUAAAACAGGCUGAAAGCAUUGUGGCCAUUAUUACACUCUGUGGGUACUGGAGCCCUCAGUAUUCUGCUGCUGAUAGAUACUGCACACACUCCUCAUUAUUUAUCUGUUAUUUAAAGCUUUCUCUUUGUUGGCAGUUGCAGCUAGGCGCAAAUCUUUUGCCGAUGCAUAGUAUUGAGGUAUAUUGUUAGUUAUUAAAAUUGAACUGCUGUUGAUAUGAAAGCUUUCAUACAAAAUUAGUGAGAUGAUCAGAAAUCCUGAUUUCAUUGUCUUCACAGAUAUACGUACUCUGGGAAAGUCUAGCAUGCAUUCCCAGUGUGUGUGUGUGUGAGCUGAUGGAGUGAGUGAGUAUGUAGCACAGGGCUAACAUGGGAAAAGACAAUGACCACUUCAAAAAGAGAGAGCUGGAAGAACCACUCAUCAAGAUCCUGUCUCUCCCGUUGAAGAGCAACCUAAGCACUGACUACUACACCUCAGGGAACUCACUGAUGUGUGUGUUAAUCACCAACGUAGGGUAUCAGAUCAUUUGUGGCUUAAUCUGUUUAGCUGCACUUGCAUCGAACAUAUGCUCAUUGGCAAACAUUUCCAAUGUCCUUCCUCCUGUCCUUCAUGUUGCCUUUAUAAACCAACUCCUCUAACAGCUGGCUUCAAACACCAAUACAAAAUAUCAGCUAAAUAAACGUCUCUGGUUUGUACUUAGUAUUCUAUUUGGUAUCUGGGAGAAGCUCCAACUGUGCAGAAAGUGGGUUAGUCUGGUGGAUGGGGAGUAGCUUGGUAAAAUGCAGUAGUUCCUUCACAGUGCCUAAAAAAAUGUCCUAAAAAAAUUCCUAACGAAGUCCAAACCUCAAGAGUAGACCCAAAUUUUUGGUAGUGUUACCUUAAGGGCUAAGCAAAAUAUUUGACCCCAGAUUACCUGAAAUAAACCUUGAUCCAUUUUCAUGUUGAAAUGAUGUUUGCCUUUUUUCUUAAGUUAUAACCACCUUGUUUCUUUCCAAAUAUUUAUGUCUUGAUAAGUUGCAUUUUGCUAUUUAUGAGAUAUUGCACAGAAUAAUCUGGGAAGGGUCACAGAAAGCAUGAGCUGCUGAGAUAACAUCAUCAAGCAAAAUGCCACAGGAUUAAUCUUACCCCCGUAUAAUUCAGCAUUGUCCUCGUUCUGCUCAGGCUAAUUCUGUGCAUCACAAAGGUCAUUUAAAUUAACCAGAAUUGUGAGGCAACCUCACAAGCUCACGUUUGUCCUUAAUGAACAAAACUCAGCUUUACUCUGGCUAUGGGACUUGCAACGUGACUUCAGAAGGGACUGAGGCCAUUUGUGGGGGUUACACAUUCCCAAAAGAUGUAAAUACUUAUUGCCUUAUUCCCAAACCUUUGAACUCUCUGCAGGCAUUAUUUUCACAAAAUAAGUCAUCAGCCUGCCUGGCUGGUCACAGAGUAGAGCUGUGGGUGACACACAAUGACAGAUUUAGCCCUGAACGAAGGCUGAGGUGAGCACCCAACUAUUCCACUUCCACACAAAUAUCCUAAAUCUUUGCUGGAAGGAGCUGCCAGCAAAUACCCUGCCGGCAUAUGUUCUGGACCCAUCCAACAGGAGAGCUGUAAUCAGCUGCCCAACCUCUUGACCUUGUCGAAGUGAAAAAAAUGCACAAAAUUACGCCUGCUGUGCUGUCAUCUGGGAAAAGCCUGCACAUCACCAUUGCAUUAACACUGCCUAAACACUAAAUGAAAAUCUUCCGACUGUGCACGCACAAAAGUACAGAUUUAAAACAGCUCCUAGUGCCCUGGUCUGAGAUUUGAAAUGCUGCACAGAGCUGCGUUGAUAUAAUCUUAUUUGAAUAUAAAUCUCUUGUUUUUAAUAUAAAUCAAGAUGAAUGAGGUGAUUAUUUUUUUUUUUUUUCCAGGAAUUUUGAACAUCCCUCUGCUUCCCCAACCUGGAGAGAGAAGGAGGAAGACCACUGAAAGCAUUUGAAUCUCUCUGUCUGCAGUGCUCUCUGGCUUUGAAGAAGUAAGAGGGGUCAACACAGGUGAGCUUCUCUGUCUGCUCUGAAAUGGUGGGAUAUGAAGCAGCUCACUGCCUUGGAAACCAAAAUGCCCAAGUAAAAGGACUUUGGCUCAGUCACUCACUAUGCAGGAACUCAACAUCCCUCAUGGAUAACACCCACUUGGAUGAAGUUGCCAUCUGUUGUUUUCUUGGACUGUGUCAGGAUACGUAAAACAGAGUGAAAGAGAGAGAGGUAAAACAGAAGGUAGACGCAAGCAGAAAAUAUUGUUUGGAAGUUGAGGUUCUCCAACUGCUGGGGCAGUACAGGUGACUGCACUGAUCACCAAAGAGUAGCUGGAGCAAAAGGAAAGCUCCCUGGCUGCCACAGAUCUGAUGCCUUUGCUCAUUAUUUCUUUUUCUCAUAGCUUGCAAUGCAUAAACAGACUGAGUGCAGGCAGUGGUAAGUGGGACCAGAAUCAUCCUUCAGAAUAAGGCAAGAAAGACAAAGUAAGAAGAGUGGCUACAGUAACUAACAUACGGGCUUCACAGCAGGAGCUAGAAGUGUAACAUUCCCUUUAUCUUCCCUUCAUCAAGGCUGAGCUGUAUUGAGGAAUCCAGUCUGAAUCUUAUAGCUUGUGCUCAUUAAUAUGACAAGAGAGGAAAUGAGGAAAAAAGAGGAAAUAUAAUGUUAUGAUUGAAAGUUUCAUCAGUUUAGUGACAAUACUUUUGACUUAAAUUAAAAAUAAAGUGCUUUAGGAUUCAAAAUUGUAUGGCAGCAAUUCUGUUGGUGAACAACCAAAAGCAUCAUUUAUGCCCAUUAUAAAGAAGCCCAGUUACCUCCAUUUCCCUUCUUUUGACCAACAAUUUGUGUAUGUAAUAUAUAAAGAAAAUAGCAAUAUUCUGUGCAAUAUGGCACAAGGCUCAAACUUGGUAUAUUGUACACAAAGUGUGUUUCUUGAAAAUCUCAGAAAUUUUUGUAGUAGCAAAUGCUUCAUCAAGCUGUUAUACUACGUUAUGUACAGGAAGAGGAAAAAUAGCAUAGUUAGUUCAUCUGCCAGCUUCUGAAUUUAAGUGGUCAUUUAAUAUACCCAUCACAUUUAUUGCUGCUAUAAGAUGUUACACGUUUGUAUAUAGUAUUUAAACCUGAUUCUUUUAAGCAGAAAUAGUUUUAUCGACUCAAUACUGCAAGCAUUUCCUGAAAAAAGAUAUAUUUCCUGUGCUUUGUUAACGUUGAACAGCACAGACUUUUAAAAAGUAACAGCAUGACAGUGAUCUGUAAGACGGACUUUAAGUAAGGCUGUAGUUCUAUAUUGUUGUAUCUCACAAAAACUCCGUUACUGAACUCCAAUGAUUAUAAAUUCCAUGUAAAAAAAAAAAAAGAAAAAAAAAAAGACACUGUUGUCUGUAUUUCAAUCAUAGCAUUAAGCCAAGUUAGAAAGGAGAGAGAAUCCUGCAGAUGAGCUUGAAGAUGAAAAUGCUUUCUGUCCAUACAGUGACGUUUCUUCAGCUUCAUAACUGCGAUCAACAGAAAUAAAUUCCAUGGUUUGGGCUCCUCAAAGGAGUGAGGUUUGCCUUCACUGCUUAAGUGCCAAUUAGCUGCAAAUUAAACAAAACAAAUAGGCAAAAUGAAGAAAAACUUCCUAACUUGUCUUCACAGGAGGGAUAAAACUCAUUGAGAUACUGAACGCUUUUAAAUGUUAAUGUCAGUAUUUUCAAUGGAGACAAACGGUAUUUUCAGCAAUAGGCCUCAACUUUUUUGUCCCAGAUAGUAGGAACUGACUGUGUUCCUUCUCACUCAGAACUGGAGGAGUUCUGAGUAACUUCUGAGUUCUGAGAGGAGUAACUAUAGACAAAGCACAAAUACCACAAAUACCAGAAUGGAGCCUUCAACUCAACUCUUUCAGCUCCCAGAAAAACUGAAAGCAUAUAGCAGGAGCCAGAAUUAAUCUAAAGAUUGAAAAAUGGACGUUGCAGUUAAAAAAAAAAAAAAAAAGAUAUAAUUUCUUACUAUGUUUCCUAUUAUACAGUAAAAAUUGCGUUCACCCUCACUAAGAGGAUCAGGCUGAGAGCAUAUGUUCAGCUCUCCAGCUUCCAUGACCUCAGAUGAUUUGCUUUAGAAUCACAGAAUCAACAAGGUUGGAAAAGACCUCCAAGAUCGCAACCAUUCACCUAUCAGCAACAAUUCCCUAUUAAACCAUGCCCUUUAGCGCAUCAUCUAAACAGCUCCUGAACACCUCCAAGCUUGGUGACCCCACUACUUCCCUGGACAGUGUGUUCCAGCGCCUGACCACUCUUUGUUCUUCAAUGAAUUCUUUUGUCUGUGGGUGCCCAAAAGGUUUCAUAGUUAGCUUAUUAAAUGAUGGAGAGGGCCUGGUCAUCUGUGUUCUUCAUUAUUUGCCACUCCACAAAGCAUGUGUAAUCUGGGAACAGUUGUAAUAUGGUAGAAGUUUUCUUUGGAAUUACUGAUGAAAAUAUUAUACUGUAGAAAAAGAGAAAAUUCCUUUAGGACCUGAAAAAAAAGCAACAUUUUAAUGACAAUAAGGCAUCUCUCAGUUAGUGGAUUUUUAAUCCACUGAUUAGUAUCUUAAUUUCUGAUUGCCCUAAAUUCUCAGCCACGUUGCCAAGAGGUAUCAGAUCAGAUGCCUGAUCUGAUCUGAUACAUAUAAGCUUUCAGUUUGAAAACUGCAUCUAAUGCAAUUCUAUCCAUUACCUUGUUUUCUAUCACAAUCUGACUGGAACUGCAUGAGAGGGAUGGAAACUUGGUUUCAUAAUGACCUGAUGCACUUGCUAGGAUUACAGCUCUGUGCCUUCUGGUCAAGGACCUUCAAAGUGUGCAAGGUGAAAAGCAGUUUCCCAUAGAUUUUGCUGAAAAGCAAUACCAUCCUCCUCC